CGCCUCUCGGGUCUUAUCCUCUUCCCCCACCGCCCAUUCUACAUCCCACCCAUCUCUCUCCUAGGGGCACACUCAGGAGAGCGACCAUGCGGCGGUGACGUCGGAGAGGAGGCAGGUGGCGGCGGAGACCAGGAAAAUAGUUCACGGUCUCGCAGCUCCACUAGGACCAACGUCGUGGUGUCGAGCGGCGGAGACGAGCGGGUUGUGCCGUCUCCAAGGGCGGGCAGAGAACUCGACGACGAGGGCGUCGAGCUUGAGCCAGGCGAGCGGAGGCGGCGCUACGUGCGGCGGGCGGUGAACUCGGCGACGAGAGCGUCGAACUUGAGUCAGGCGAGCGGAGGCGGCGCUGCGCGCGGCGGGCGGCGAACUCGGCGACGAGGGCAUGUACGCCUCCGGCUUAUGCACCAGCAACUGCUUUGAAAGGAGGCGCGGGUCAACGGAGCGCUGGCGGGGGUGGCCAAUUCACAGGAUCGCGCGGAGAAGGUUGGCGGUGUGAAAGUUUAAGAUGAUGAGCUCGACGUUGCUAUCGUUGGUGGAGGCAUGGUGGGCUUGGCUGUUUGCUUGUGUAGUGUGUAAGUAUUGAUGCCUUCGUGUACUUCUCUUCCUUCGAUUAAAUUGUUCAUGAGGUGAGCUUAGUGUUACGUUUAGGCUGAGAAUCGAUCCCAGCAUUAGUUAUAAAAGGAAACUUGGCACCAUUGGAAUAAAGUUCUCAGAGAUUCUUCCA